CGCUGCAGGCGAGAUCCAAUAUUUUGUUGUCAUGUACGAUUGCCUAUUGACUGUGAAAAAGCAAAUAACACAGUCUGAACCACGCAAGCUUUCGGAUACCUGCAUCCAAGUCUGUCUUGCAGCUUAAAAAGAGACCCUUUGGUUCCUCCCUGUCAAUACUGAGAAUUCAUGUGAAACAAAACACUGGAUGAUCUUUCCCGCUUACCUGAGAGUCACUUAGGGCCUCUGAGAUGCAAAGAGUGAGACAGUCCUUCGACACUUGCGACGAGCACCCAGUGCAGACACGCUCCAGCUCUGCUCCAAGCCCCCAGCCCACCCCAGCAAGGGGCUUUGGUGGACAGGAGGAAGAAAGGAGCAUCUCUCGGGGAGAGACACAGUCCUUAGCCCAGCUGCAACAUGCACCGUGCCUGAUACGUUGUAAUGACAUGAAAAUGAAUAGAAUAAACUGAGUGGCAUCGUUAUUAACCUUUGUUACCUCAAUAAAUCAAACCAAAGAGCAGCAAUUACUCCCGUUUCUGACAAAUACUGGUUACGCAGCGGAUUUCCCCCUUGCUCUUGGUCCCGUGCCCUCUCCCUCACUCUCUUUCACAACUGGAAUCAGGAAGGUGCAGUACAUAUCACGGUAUUGAAAAGAAUAGGAAUAAUUUAAUAUCAGCUCAUAAAGGCACGUAACAGAUAACAUGGGGCUUCCAUGGCAUCCAUCUACUGCACUCUUAAACCAGGCAGCGGGUUUUCCAGGGUGGAUCCUGAUCCUGGUCCCUAAACUGCUGCACAGCAGCACACUCAUUCAUCCACGCCUGCACAGAGACAGAUAUUCUCAUUUCUUUUGCAUCAAGCUCCGGAUCUCAGGAAUUGCUGAAUGAAAAGGUUGGAAAGCAAAACUUACCCUCCUCCAAACUCUGGUCCAAAGUAUGAGUCAAGCUUUUGGCCCCAGAUCAGGACCAUCAAUUGGGCUUUCUGCUUAGCACUAAACUUGCCUCGGGUUUUUGUCACACACUUGUGUCAACACCGAUAUGAGUUUAGGAGUCUGAUGCUGCUCCCAAGCCAGCUAAUUUCUGAGGUCAGUGCCAUGCUUUCAGAUCGAUUACUUCAGAAUUUAGUCAGCACAAAACAGCCUCACAGUGGAGUGCUAUGCUUGCAUAUUUAAAGCUAUCUGGGAAGAGGAUCUUUCAGCAAAGGUAUUCAAUGAGACUUAAAAAUCAAUCCUCAUUUGAAGGAACUGGCCAAGUAUUGCAGCAACCAUUGUUAAAAUGCCUAGAUUAAUAAUAAAUCAGAGCUGACAAAUACCUUUUGCAUUUUUGACUUUGUGGAUUUAUUUUCUCAGAGGAUCUGGUUGUGGACA